AUUAAAGAGAGACAAUUUCACACGGUAACUGCACAAAUGCGUUGUAAUUUCUCAAAAAAACUGCAUUUACUAUAGUAAAAACAAUUGAUCUCUCUGCUAACUCUACAGUAAAAAUUUUGUAGCCGGAAAAAGAGGGAUAAUCGAAGUGUUUGUUAUGUUUUUAACCUUUGUUAGAUUAGAAAUUUUAAUUAUUUCCAACUUUAACAUUUUACUUGUUCUCAUUGAAAGUUAAAGUUAAGGCACAUUGCUGUCAUGCGUAAUAGUAAAUAAGAAGACUGCUUAGGAAGAAACAGUGUGACAAACGAGGGAAAAAAGGAUAAAGGAUUUUAAAUUACGAAUGCAGUAACUUUUUCAGAUUAAAAAAAAAACCUACUUAUAUUAUGCUCGCACUAUUGUUCACCUAAAGGUUAAUUCGAUCAUGCUCACGUGUAAUCUGCUUGGAAUGUAGUUUGCAUGAUUGUGCGUACAAUGAUUAUCGCUACCAAUGGCCGUGAAGACACAGAAGUUUGCAUGUUUUUGCCAACGAGUUUUUUGAGAUUGAAAAUAGAUUUAUCCUGCUUAUCGUGAGAUAUAAGGACGUCUAUUUGCAUCAAGACAGCUAAGAUAAAAGACCAUUGGCGCAUUAUUGUUUAUGUUCCUAUCUUGCAAAAAAAAUAUCUCUUCUCAAAAAUAUUUAUAAAAAGCGUUCAGAAAAUAUUUCCUGUCAGGAGUUUCGUAACUGAUGAAGGUUUAGGUAUCAUAUACCACUUAGAGGACCAAGAAACGCUUGUCUCUUAGUUUUUUUUUUUUCUUUAAUUUAUAUUCGCAGAUUCAUUACCAUUGAUGGUAUAAUUAGUCAAAUACGUGUUUAAACUCGUGGAAUACAUAGGUAGUGUUACAAAGGUUUCUACUUAAUUCAGAAUUUUUCUUAAUUUCAUGAAGUUUUUAGUUAGAACAUGCUUGUGGGAAUAAUAUUUAAAAAUUCUAUUUGAGGAAUUGUAGAACAAAUUUAUAUACUUUUGUUUACAUGUUGUUUUUCUUCUAUAAUGUAUUUGGUAACCUUUACCAUAACUAAGCGCACUGGUGAGUAUAAUCAAGGCAGUCAUACUAGGGUUUAUGUCAUUUGAUGAAUAUUUCGCUAUGAUGCUUUAAUUUUUUUACUAUGUGUUACUAUCGUUUUAAAUUAGAAGAGUGAGAUAACUAGAUUCAGUGUGGAUGUCAAUCAUGUGAUUGUUGGUGUUUAAUUAAGAACAAAAGAAAGAAGAGCCUAAAAAGACCAAUAAGAAUCUACUUUGCUGAGUAAAAAACGAAAAGAGAGAGACUCGUUAUUUGUUUGAUCCAUUUUUAAUUUUAUAAUAAAUUGUAGGCUUCUUACCAAUAAUGGUAAAAUUGAAUCUUAUUCCGUUUAUAAAUAUGACAAAUUUCUGUUUGUUUUUUGCAAACUUUUGUCUAUGACCUGUGGAGUGAUUAAAAUGCAAAAGAACAUGUUUUCUUUUGUUAAUUGGUGUCACCAUUCAUUUAAUUGUUCUCUAUAGCCAGUAUGUUUCAAGUGUAUUGUUUCAAUACAAUGUCGUAACGCCGUCCAUUAUAGCCUACUCAUACAAAAGUAAAACUAUAUUCGUUUCAACGUAGCGUGGUAUCCUAUUUGUAUUACUAAAAUUUUUACGAAACCGUAAUCAUCGAUUAGAUCAUCUAUCAUGUAAAAAAAAAGAAACAGAGGCGAAGAAAAAUACCCUUCGUGAAGUAUUUUUCUUCCCCUAUAAAAGCACACAUGCGCUGCUAUAGAUUUCGUUGAGGUUUUAAAUACGGAAUAGAAUUCGGAAAGUGUCAAGGGUUUUUUUAGGAAAAUGAAGUAUGUAUGUCUUCUAAUUGCACGGAAAGCUUAAAGUUAUAUU